UUUGUAUCCGGAGCAGACAGGAUGAGAACCUCCGAAGGAGGUUUGAGCCGAGCGAAGCGAGACAACGUUGCCUGCAACGGCCCGAAGGGCGCGUCCCGCAGGGAUGCGUCAUCCUCUCUCACCGACCA
rnacentral:sRNA from 7 species